GCUCAUGCCUGCCUUUGUGCUGUAGGGGGAGUUCUCGCGCAAUUCUUUCCAGUCGUGAUGAAGCCAUCAGUGGAGGAACGCUUGUGUUGAGUCACAAUUAUUGUUUCGUCCCCCUAUUCAGAAUGCAGCAGCUCGUCUACUCACGUCACCCCCCCGCUUACUUCCCUCCACUGGCUGCCUGUCAUGGCUCGCAUCAAAUUCAAAACAUUGGUGCUCGCUGACCUUACCUACAAAAAAUCAUCAGACCUACACCCCUGCCAGACCUCUUCGUUCAGCCUCCACAGGCCGCUUGGCACCUCCACCUCACGCUCACGACUACUGUCUGUUCUGGCUCUGCGGUUGUGGAACUCCCCGUUGAGAUUCAGCUGGAAUCCGUGACCUGAACGAAUCCAUCUUUCAGAACGCCAAAGGCCAGACAGUUGUCGGGUGCAGUGCCAAAGUAUACAUUAUACAAGCAGUUCAAAAACCAGGGGCGAGCGCCUCCAUCAAAGCUGCAAAGGCAGCCCAGGCAGGUGCAGAUCUACAGAAAGACCUUUACGUCUUUUGAGACUCUCAGGGGUAAACUGAAAGAACGUGGUAUAAACUUGCUCAGAGAUGUGAUGCAGAACAAAAGGUCUAACCGGGGAGAACACAUUUUCAACAAUGCUCUGCUUGGGUUCUAUGGGUCGAUAAUUGAUUUGUUCAUUGAAAGGCACGUCACAAACGGUAACAGAGUGACGUUGGUCGACCGUAUCCCAAACAGCAGUGUUAGUGACGCCUUCCAAGGGAACGCCCCAGAUGGCGAACACAUCAACUUGACAGCUGAUCAGAGACGAAAUAUUAGAACCUGGGUAGUUCACAUUCCGGACAAUGUGGUAUAUAUCCCAAUCAACAUCCUGUUUCCUACAUGAUAGAGAUCAUUAGGCUCAAUGCUGUUGACUACAUGCAUUUAUUUAGUCAAAAUAAUGAGAAUGUGUUGAGUAUUCUCGCUCAAUCAGUAGAAUGGAUGAAUAUGCAUCGCGUUUAUCUGGACCCACAGGCUGCGGAAAUUUGUUUUUUUGAAAAUCCAGGUCUUAUUCCUCUUUCAUAUAACUGGAUACGGGGUGCAACGUAUGCUUAGGGACCUGGAUCCCUACAGGUCAGGCAAGUUGCGUGAUUUUGU